rnacentral:lncRNA from 1 species
CUGGCAUGUUCCUAAAACCCUGGUCAACCUGGAUGACUUGCAGUUAGUUAAAGGGAGUUCUUUGCUGUUCCCCUCAGUGCGAGGUUGAGUCUAAUUUCCUUCCUCUGGCACCUUGGCUGGCUCGAGUGACUCACCGUCUGAUACAACAUGGCAGAAGCAAUAUCCCUGAACAUGGAGUCUAGGUCAUAAGAAGUCUUUAAUUCCACUGGGAUUAUUAAUUCCAUUUUACAUUCUUUCUAGGAGUCCUGAGCUACUAGAAGGGACCGUCAUCUUGCUAGAGAGCCCACAUUCAGCCACUCCAGUUCACAGACCUGCUGAGCCCUGCCCUUAAGUCAAGCCCACCCGGAAGUUGGAUAUGUUCCUGAUGCCAUGCUGGACCCUCCAGGUCAGCUGGAAGCCUGACUUUAGUCAAUACCAUGAAGAAUAGAAGUACCCAGCCGAGCCCAGCCCCAACUCCUGGCCUACACAAUUGUGAUAGCUAGUGAGAGGGUUGUUCUUUUGAACUAGAAUGUUGGGGGUGAGGGGGGCAAUUUCAUCCUAAAACCUGGAAAAACCCUUUUCCCAGAUCCUAGGCUACUGGAAUUCUGCUUUCUGGGCAGACUAGAUACCCAGGAAAGCAGAGUCUGUGUGCUGAGGUCCCCCUGGGUGUCCUCCAGGCGCACUCUACCUUUUGCCGCAGCUCUGUGCCCCCAGCCUUGCACUGUGGGUAACACCACAGGCCCCCUUGCCUCUGGCUUCUGGUUUUAUUUGGUCAAUGAUGGGCACAGGCAGAUUGGGCGAGAGGGAGGCAGAAGCCAGGUGUUUAUUCUCUCUCCCUCCCUGCAGUCAUGGGGGUGGUCAUGGCUCUGGCUGAUGGCAGGCCUUCCUCUCCAUACAGUCCCCUCCCUCUCCAGGUCCCCUCCUGUCCUUUCUCCAAGGGUAAAGUUUGUUUCUUUCUUUCUUCCUUUCUUUACCAGCCCCCAGUUACUCUAUGACCUGUUCUUUCCCUAAACUCAGUUCUCUGGAGUAGGAUUUCCCCAGAAGCAGAGACUGAAAUAGUUUGGAGUGCAAAUGGUUUUCCUGGGAAGAAAUCCCAGGACAAACAGGAGGGAUAGAGCAGGAAUAAGACAGGGAGUGGAGGAAGCCAGUGUGGGCAGGUUACUACCUCUGCUCUGGAGCUCAAGGCCCCAGUCAGUCUGGGAGAUGAUGGACAAUGUGUCUGAGUUACCCCAACUGAGGGGCCCGGAAGCUGCGGGCUUAUCCACCCACUCUGGUAUUUGCUGUGUGUAGUGCUGGGGAUUGAACCCAGGACCUCCACAUAUUGGGCAAGGGCUCCACCCUUGAGCUCCACCCCCAGGCCUGUUCUGUAUUUCCAGGACUGCUUCCAGGACACUAACAUCCUGGCACUUUCAGUGAGAUCAGCAUAACCAGCUAAGCUCACUCCCACAGCUGGUUAACACCUGAGGGGAGAGAUAGAUGAUAGAUAGAUAGAUAGAUAGAUAGAUAGAUAGAUAGAUAGAUAGAUAUUGAGGCUGAGACAUUAGCAGUAAGUAGCCAUUGCCAUGUAGCAGUGAUGCCAAGGGCACAAGAGCCUCUGGGUAGGACACUGACCUUUUUUUUUUUUUUUUCUGUUGUAGUGCAUCACCUGGCUCCUACCAGGACCCUGGGUGAGACAAGCUGACCCUGAGUUACUGAGUUACGUCACCCACAGAGGGCACAUGUCCACAGACAGCUGGAGGAGAGAUGGAGACAGGCACCUUCCCCAGAUAUGUUAUGCACACGGCAUGAGUUGAUCUAAGAAGGCAUCAGAGCUAUGUUCUCAUACAUGAAGGAAUUCUAACUCACAUAGCCUUCCUGAAAAAUCUAGUCUGAGAUCUGGCUCACUUUGACAGAACAAAACAAAGCAAAACAAAAACAAAACAGAAAUAAUGAAUCCCAGUGUGAAAGAAUACAAGAACACCAGAAAACUAGUCAGGAGUUCUCUCUAGAGAAACCAAGAACUCAGUUGCAAGGAUAGCUUUGGUAACACAGUACCAAGACAGCAAAUGUAACUGUUAAAGGUGUCAAGGGGAAAAGCUACAUGAAAAUAUUUUUUUUUUACUUUCAAGGAAGAUACAUUAGUGAGGGUAACCCUAGCUCCUGUAGCACAGAGAAUAUUACAAAUAACCCCCACAUGAUGCACAUAGAGUUCUUGCUCCAGUAACAAUUCUGGGUGGGAGGCCGUGUCCUCUCUACCUUCUGGGACCUCAGGCUGAGCCUGCAGCCUAUUGCUCAAGGUCACCUUGCCUGUGAUCUUUAUUCCAUGCAGUCAAGGGGGAGAGAGUAUGAGGGCUUGGGGAGACCCAGACUUGGAAGCAUUAGGUUUCACUCCAGCCCACCACAGCUUGGGCACCUGGUCAUGCAGAGUUGCAAGGGAGCCUGGGAAAUGUAGUUCAGCACUCCCAGCAAUCCCUGGGAGUGGAGGCACCUUUCCUGAGGAAGACUCUUGUUCCCUUCCCAAGAGACUUGGCAUCACAUUCCUUGCAUCAAAAAGUCAGGUGGCCUUGGCUAAUCUUGAUAGUCUAAUCAAGAUAGCUAAUCUGUUCCUAUCCCCAAUGCCAAUUUUCUCUCCAGAUCUGCUGCCCUAGUCUGGGGCCUGGUGGAGAGAAGAGUAUUUGUGUGUUGGAGAAAUAGCAGAAUGUAAGUGGGUAGUUCAGACCAUUGUCCUGGGGUGCAGCAGAAGCCCUCAUGGGCAGCAGGACUCCUGAUGCCUGGGUUAAGGGAGGGCAUUUGAUGCCUAAGGGUGAGGAUUUCCAGGUGUCUGCAGUCAUGCCUGCCUACCACACACAUCCAUACAAAAGAUCACAAUAGCUUUAUUUAUUGAGCACCUAUUAUGUGCUGGUCACCCUGAGAGGGGAUCACAUGUAUUAUUUCACCUUGUCUUCCCUGUGAGGUGGACACCAUGAUUAGCCCCAUCACUGGGGGAAAACCAAGGCUCAAAGUGGGCAAAGCUGAUGAGAAGUGCAACUGGGGUUGGGUGUGAAUGUGCUAGAUGUCACAGCCAGUGUUCUUGUUUUCUGUCAGCAUCAGAAGAAAGCAGGUUAGGUUGGACAGGAGCCUGGUGGCAGGAAGAGGCGUGGGCAGGCAGGAGUCCUGGGUUUGCAUCGUGGCUCUGCUCUGGCUCCAUGUGGCUGAGGGUGGGUCCCCUGUUUGUUCAGCUCACAGUCUCCUAGACUGGCUCUGUUCCAGACACUGACAAUAGAGGGGAAACCCACUCUAGUUGCUCAUGGUGCAGCAGGGAACCAGCUCCCCAAUUUGACACAGUAUGACUGUAGCUGAAAGCUCUGUCCCUGUCCCCAAUGCCAAUCAAUGCCGAUUUAAUAAUGACUACACAGUUUUGAGAAAAAGGAAAAAAAGGUUUAUGGCUUUGCUAGCAAAGGAAAAACAUAAGGGACUCCUGUCCCAAAUCAGGGGGGACAGAGGAGUUUUAAAGGAACCUUAAGGGUUACAUUCCAGGUAUGCUGUGGUAGGGGGUCCCAGGUCUCCCUAAUGGCAUGAUAGGAUUCAUUUGUUAGAGAGUGAGAAAGAGAGAGAAUUUUUUUAAUAUUUAUAUUUUAGUUUUCAGCAGACACAACAUCUUUGUAUGUGGUGCUGAGGAUCAAACCCAGGCCACACGCAUGCCAGGCGAGCAUGCUACCACUUGAGCCACAUCCCUGGCCCUGGAUUCAUUUGUGAAUUUGGGAGAUAGUCACUUCCCAGAUCUCCAGCAGGCAUCUGCUUCCUGUAGUGGGUGUGUGGGAGGGCAGUUAACUAGGGGAGGAAAAGGUAACCUUGUCUCCCUAAUCUUGUUAGGGGAGAGGGGAGAAAAGAGAAAAAAGUAUUUUUUUUUAAAAAUAAGCCUCAGAGCAAUGAGGGCUACAUUCAGAAAGUGAAAGGAUCACUGUUAGGAGACAAUGGUUGUAAAUAUUUCCUCCUCCUUGUCUCUAGUGUUUUUUCUCUAUGAAACUGAGCAGGGUUAGGAGGUCAGAGGUUGCAAACUCAAAUGUUGACAGACAGGCAUGAAAUGCAGAUGAUCGGGAACCUCAGCUCCCCCACUCACAGCUCUGUGGCUUUCAGCAAAUCCUUCUAAAUCUUGGUUUACUCAUCUGGGGAGUGGGGAUAGCACAUACUCAUGCUAGCUCAUGGGAUAAGUAAGCCAUGGAUGUCCUCAAUUCAUGAAUAACCUGUGGACAUCCCUGGUUCAUAAGAUAACACAUAGAAAACUCUCUAGCAAGACCCUAGCUCCAAAUUAAAAAAAAAAAGUGCUAGGGGAUGUGGCUCAGUGGUUAAGUGCCCCUGGGUUCAAUUCCAAAACAAAACAAAAAAAACUGUACACCAGAUAGUCCUUGGACAUGUAGACUCCAUACACUUAAGGUCCCUGCUGAUUCUCAUCUUAUAGGAUGUCUCAAUGAAAAGAGAACAACAGAGAGAUUGUCCUUCAACUCACAUUUCAACUCAUAACAGAUAGGAUUAGCAUCACUGGCACACAAGAGAAACCCUCCAAAGGAUAGUAGUAAAAAUAAGAUAGAAGUGUAUUUCUCUGACAUAUUAAAGAAGCCCAGAGACAGCAACACAGGGCUGGUAGGGCAACCCCAUGAAGAUGGCACCUUCCAUCUCUCUGCUGUCAUCCCUGUGUGCAGCCACUCUCCUCAUUGUCUAGAUGGCUGCCCGAGCAGUGGCCAUCUCAUUUGCUGUUCAGAGAGCAGAGUGGAAGAAGAAGAGAAGCCGCUAUGCCUCUUUGAAAGCUCCAGGUCCCUAGAUUUCUUUACAACUUCUACUUGUGAAAUCACAUGGCCCAAAUAAUUGCAAAGAGACUGGGAAAUGUCUUUCGACCGGAAAGCAAGGUACCCAGAUAAAAAGGGAGGCUCUGUUACUAAAGAAGAGAAUAGUAGAUAGAUACUGGAAGGCCACCAGCCAUUUCUGCCACAUUAAGUAACCCAGAGGGUGAGGAGGGAUGUGUGGAUAAGUGGAAGGCUGGUUAAUAGGAAACCAGGUGCUACUCUCCAUGUUACCUGUUCAUGCUUAAGUCUUUGAGCCUCCUUGUGACCCAGAGAAGAGUAAGAGAGCAAAACAGAAAAGGCCAUCUGAGUGCUAAGGAGCUGAAUGUGCCAGCCAGUCCUGAGCCCUAUGUGAACAUCACCUCAGAUUACCCUUCCAGACUCUCCAGCCAGGGAGUCCCUGCCAUGGUGGGGAGGGGUUUCAUCUUGUCUGUGCCAACUGGGGUAGGGGACCUAGAUGCCCAAUUGCUCCUGGAGUGAUAACCAACCAGCAGUUUGCAGUCCUGCCCGCACCUCAAGGUCCUGGUCCCUCCAACCUCUGAACCUCUCUGAGGUUCUUCAAGCUGUCUUGGGUCCCAGUGGUUCUCCUCACAGCCAGGGUCAACCUCCUCUGUCCCUUGCCAGUCCCCCUUACCAUCUGCUUCCUAGCAUCCAGAAUUUGGUUGCUUCCUCUUGUUGGGUGUUACGGACUCGCACGUCAUCUUUGUCCUGGUAGAUGAGCAUUUCCAAACAUCUGGAUGUGUCAUUUUCUUGGAGUUCCAGAGGAGAGUGCACAUAGAUAAAUGUGUGCAAUCUGCCACUUGGAACCAACAGCCUUUAGCCUGAGCCCUUGACUGGGGAUCCCUCAGCCCCAGGAUGGUGUCACAGUCCUCUCUCCCUGUACUUUCCUUCCUGGCUCUGGUAGCCCCUGGGGAACCCUCAGCACACAGGACUUUUUCUUCCCUCUGAGACCAGGCAUAGUUCUGCCCAGCUCCUGCCCAUCCUGCUUCUCAAGGGCAGGGCCUUGAUGGGACUGGGCAGGCCUCAGUCCGGUGGGUCUAAAUCCAUGGCCUGGCUCACUCCUCAGAUGUCAGUUUGGGCUUUAGUGAGUUCAAAUUCAAAGCUGGACAUGACAGUAACUUCUCAAUUAGAAUAACAGAGUUAAUCUCCCUGCAAAUGUAUAUUCCCACUGUAGUUGGUUAUAUUCCCACUUACCUCUCUCUAUUUUUUUAACCCAGGGGCACUCUACCACUGAUCUAUAUCUCCAGCCCCUUUUGAAUUUUUUUUUCUCUUUUUGAGACAGUCUCACAAAGUUGCUCACACUUGCCUCAAGUCUUGCCUCAGAAGUUGUUGGGAUUCCAGAAUUAUGCCACCAGAAUGUUUACCAUAAGUGAAAACAGGCUGUUGAGUGACGUAUUCUCUUCUUAUUGACUGAAAGGACUUAACAAAUAACUUGCUGUAGCCCUCGUGUUGUUCUACUGUUGUUGUUUGGAUCUAUAAUAUGAGACCCCACAGGUGCCAUCUUGGAGCACUUAUUCUGGGAAACUAGACUGUUUUCCCGGAUGGCCAUUCUCACUCUUGGCUCAGAGGAAAUCCUUCUUUUAUUGACUUGUAGAAGAUUUUGUGUUUCAAGGUAACAUUGCUUGCAACCACGAUGAGAUCUUGGAGCAAAUCUUCCCCUCAACUUUGGCAGCCCACCUUGGACUCCGUUUUCAAAGUUUCCUUCCAUGAUAAGUUUUGCUAUGGGCUUCUGGCAGCCAAUCAUGGCAGGAUGCAUGGUAGAACAAAACCACCCACUUCAUGGCCAGAAAACAAAAGAGAGGAAGUCCUACUACCUCCUUCCAGGGCACGCCCCCAAUGACCUGGAGACCUCCCAUUAGGCCCCACCUCUAAAUCCUUCAUUGCCUCUCAAUAGCACAUGGACCUCUGUGGGGACACAAGGAUCCUAACUAUAGCAAUGGGGUCCCAGAGGGGUGAGACAUUAUAGGGGUGAAUUUCUCAUGAAACCUGUGCCUCCAAAAUUUUUUAGUGGUGGUUACAUCAUCAUUAGACUCAUGAGGCACUAAGUUCAGUCUCUGUCUCUGCUGGGGGGAUGGCCAUUGCCUCCUUUCCCAGGAUUAGGGUAACUUAAAAUCCUAAAAUAAGGCUUUUUUUUUCCUUGCCAGUAGGGGUUCUUGUGUGCACAGAUAAGGUAAUUAGGAUUGUUUCAGUAAUCUGUUUCAUUAGACCUGUCUCUGGACAAUGACCAACCUAUGCUCCUUGUCAUCACCACACAUGAGCCCUGCUGCAAAAAGGAACAUUGCCCCUUCCACACCAAAAGUGUGUCCUAGAUGACUAGAGCCUCAGUGGAAAGGUUGAGGUGUUGGUCUGUGGCCUGCAGUGGUCUCGUGGGUUCUGCCACCAGAAGAACAUCUUUAGGAAACUUUCGGCUCUCCAGGAGGUGCAUGUAGUGGCUGCUAACCCAGCACCUCAAGCACCACACUUACCAUAGGCAGUUGGAUUCCUGUGACACAUGAAGAGGUGUUAGGCUCUCCAUGGUGAUUCCUUGGGGAGCCAUACCCACAAGCAACACCCUUGACCCAGAACAGGAACCAAAGUUACAGGAAGCCAAUGUUCCACACUGGGUCUCUCUACUGGGGACUCUCCAUUUGUGCCCCAGCUGGUCUCAUGCAUGACAUUUAAGAAGCCUCAUCUUUCAGGUACCUUGGAAAGUAGUCUAAUCUGACUAAGGAUGAUCCUAAACUCCAAUCAAUCAUUACUAUCCAAAGUACAUGUAUGAAGAUACGAUUUGGUGUGGAUAUACUAUGUAUACAACCAGAGAUAUGAAAAAUUGUGCUCUAUAUAUGUAAAAAGAAUUGAAUGCAUUCUGCUAUCAUAUAUAAAUUUAAAGAUUACAUAAAAAAUAAAAAAUU